rnacentral:misc_RNA from 1 species
CAUAGCCAAAUAAAUACCCAAAGCAACGCAAAAUGUAGAUGGAAAAUGUUAGUAACAAAAAUGAGGACAAUGGCUACAUUGAAGACUAUUUAUGUCUCUUUAACACAGAGUCAUACUAAUAAAUUUUGCAAAGAACAUAGCUUAGAAUUUCACAAUCACCAAAACACACAAGUAAUUGACAAAUAUUUUACAGAAUUGCAUAAAACUUCAACAAACCAUUGCUAAGUUAUUCCUUUGUAUUAUUUCUCAGUUCCUACAAAUGAAUGGAAUGCAUGCCUUGUCUAUGUGUGUGAAAUCAAUUUGGAUAUAAAAUAGUGUGUGGCUGCAUGCCACCAGUUCCUUCCCAAAGAGAAUAUUAUAACUCCUUAUAUUUUGACAAGGAACCACUUGGUUGUGUUCAUAAUUUUGGGAACAAUGCCAUGUAUCUUUGUGAAUGUUCUAUUUAAUCAUCUUUUGUUUGGAUGGGCUUAUCUAAUAGUAAGUGCCUGUACAAUGGCAAUGUAAUGGUCGGG